AAGCGCCAAGCUCAUCAGCAAAACUGCAGAUAUCUUGGCACGACGUGAUA
rnacentral:sRNA from 1 species